rnacentral:rRNA from 2 species
UGAGGAAUAUUGGUCAAUGGGCGAUGGCCUGAACCAGCCAAGUAGCGUGAAGGAUGACUGCCCUAUGGGUUGUAAACUUCUUUUAUAAAGGAAUAAAGUCGGGUAUGCAUACCCGUUUGCAUGUACUUUAUGAAUAAGGAUCGGCUAACUCCGUGCCAGCAGCCGCGGUAAUACGGAGGAUCCGAGCGUUAUCCGGAUUUAUUGGGUUUAAAGGGAGCGUAGAUGGAUGUUUAAGUCAGUUGUGAAAGUUUGCGGCUCAACCGUAAAAUUGCAGUUGAUACUGGAUGUCUUGAGUGCAGUUGAGGCAGGCGGAAUUCGUGGUGUAGCGGUGAAAUGCUUAGAUAUCACGAAGAACUCCGAUUGCGAAGGCAGCCUGCUAAGCUGCAACUGACAUUGAGGCUCGAAAGUGUGGGUAUCAAACAGGAUUAGAUACCCUGGUAGUCCACACGGUAAACGAUGAAUACUCGCUGUUUGCGAUAUACGGCAAGCGGCCAAGCGAAAGCGUUAAGUAUUCCACCUGGGGAGUACGCCGGCAACGGUGAAACUCAAAGGAAUUGACGGGGGCCCGCACAAGCGGAGGAACAUGUGGUUUAAUUCGAUGAUACGCGAGGAACCUUACCCGGGCUUAAAUUGCACUCGAAUGAUCCGGAAACGGUUCAGCUAGCAAUAGCGAGUGUGAAGGUGCUGCAUGGUUGUCGUCAGCUCGUGCCGUGAGGUGUCGGCUUAAGUGCCAUAACGAGCGCAACCCUUGUUGUCAGUUACUAACAGGUGAUGCUGAGGACUCUGACAAGACUGCCAUCGUAAGAUGUGAGGAAGGUGGGGAUGACGUCAAAUCAGCACGGCCCUUACGUCCGGGGCUACACACGUGUUACAAUGGGGGGUACAGAGGGCCGCUACCACGCGAGUGGAUGCCAAUCCCUAAAACCCCUCUCAGUUCGGACUGGAGUCUGCAACCCGACUCCACGAAGCUGGAUUCGCUAGUAAUCGCGCAUCAGCCACGGCGCGGUGAAUACGUUCCC